UUUAUAGAUUUCUCCAAAUAAUCUUAAUUCUAAAAAUUAAUUUGUUAAAAGAUAACAAAAGUGACAAAAGUGACCAUGUUUGACUAAAGUUUACCAGGAGAAGCAGAAACUAUGGGUGUACGUAUCUAUCAGCAUCUCGGAUUCACCACUCAUAGAUGUGUGUCUUUGCAGUGUCACCAACCAUUAAUCUUAAGCUCUUGAAUCCAGGACUUUAUUGUAGAAUGACUGAACAUUCUACUUCUAUUCAACAUUGUAAGAUUCUAGCCAAGGCAACUAGGCAAGACAAUGAAAUUAAAGGCACCCAGAUUGGAAAGGACAAAGUAAAACUAUCUCUAUUUGCCGAAGUGUUCAAAAUCUUUGAAUUUUAGAAAACAGAAGAGAUGGACAGAGAGACAGAUUUGCUACAGGACGAAAAGGAAAGCAGAAACCCCAAUUCUGUAGUGCAUACGCUUUGGAAUCAGCAAAAAAAAGGGAAACAACUCCAGUCAACUCAUUCAUUAAAUAAGGUGCGACCCACUCAUUCCUCA